UACGAAGGGGGCUAGCGUUGCUCGGAAUCACUGGGCGUAAAGCGCACGUAGGCGGCUUUCUAAGUCAGGGGUGAAAUCCUGGAGCUCAACUCCAGAACUGCCUUUGAUACUGGAGUGCUUGAGUCCGGGAGAGGUGAGUGGAACUCCGAGUGUAGAGGUGAAAUUCGUAGAUAUUCGGAAGAACACCAGUGGCGAAGGCGGCUCACUGGCCCGGUACUGACGCUGAGGUGCGAAAGCGUGGGGAGCAAACAGGAUUAAGAAAC
rnacentral:rRNA from 1 species